UUCAAAGAGCCAAAAAAGUAAAAGAGAAAGAAUGAAAUGCACUUUCAAGGCUGAAAAUAUUGACUUCCAGGUUCUUUAUGAAGGCAUUUCGCAUACCAUUACCUGGUGUACUAAUCAUUUACUUUUUGCUCGUUUCCGCUGUGAAAAAAGUAUUGAAAUUCCCAAGAAAGAAGUCUGCUUUAAAAGAAGACAACAUACCACUUUUUACAUUUACAAUAAUUACUGCCACGCCGCCACUAAACUGUAAAUGUCUUAAACAAACAGAAUACUUUUUAAGUUUCAAUUUGUCGUAUGAAAAUGACCGACAGAAGAAUUGGAAGUUUCUUCCAAACAUUUUUAUUCAGUAAUUUCUCUCUAAACUGGUGUUUGUCAUUUAAAUUAAUAAAGGUACUAACUCUA